GCACGAUUAGCUAGUUGGUAGGGUAACGGCCUACCAAGGCUUUGAUCGUUAGCUGGUCUGAGAGGAUGGCCAGCCACACUGGAACUGAGACACGGUCCAGACUCCUACGGGAGGCAGCAGUGGGGAAUCUUGCACAAUGGGCGAAAGCCUGAUGCAGCGACGCCGCGUGGGGGAUGAAGCUUUUCGGAGUGUAAACCCCUUUCGACCCGGACGAAUGUCCCGCAAGGGAACUGACGGUACGGGUAUAAGAAGCCCCGGCUAACUACGUGCCAGCAGCCGCGGUAAGACGUGGGGGGCCAGCGUUGCUCGGAAUUACUGGGUGUAAAGGGUUCGUAGGCGGUGUAGCAAGUCGGGAGUGAAAUCUCUGGGCUCAACCCAGAGACUGCUUCCGAAACUGCUGUGCUUGAGUGUGGGAGAGGCGCGUGGAAUUGCAGGUGUAGCGGUGAAAUGCGUAGAUAUCUGCAGGAACACCCGUGGCGAAAGCGGCGCGCUGGACCACUACUGACGCUGAGGAACGAAAGCUAGGGGAGCA
rnacentral:rRNA from 1 species